GAUGAACGCUAGCGAUAGGCUUAACACAUGCAAGUCGAGGGGCAGCACAAGGUAGCUUGCUAUCUGGGUGGCGACCGGCGCACGGGUGCGUAACGCGUAUGCAACUUGCCCUAUACAGGAGGAUAACCCGUCGAAAGACGGACUAAUACUGCGUAUGCUCACAACUUGGCAUCAAGUGGUGAGGAAGGAAAUUCGGUAUAGGAUAGGCAUGCGUCCCAUUAGCUUGUUGGUGAGGUAACGGCUCACCAAGGCAACGAUGGGUAGGGGAACUGAGAGGUUUAUCCCCCACACUGGUACUGAGACACGGACCAGACUCCUACGGGAGGCAGCAGUGAGGAAUAUUGGUCAAUGGGCGCGAGCCUGAACCAGCCAAGUCGCGUGAAGGAUGACUGUCUUAUGGAUUGUAAACUUCUUUUAUACGGGAAUAACAAGAGUCACGUGUGACUCCCUGCAUGUACCGUAUGAAUAAGCAUCGGCUAACUCCGUG
rnacentral:rRNA from 1 species